rnacentral:tRNA from 1 species
CCCUGGGUGGCUCAGUUGGUUGAACAUCUGACUUCGGCUCAGGUCAUGAUCUCACAGUUUGUGGGUUCGAGCCCCGCCUUGGGUU